GGGACUGAAAGGAAGUGUGCACACUGAGUGUGCACACUUCCUUUCAGUCCC
rnacentral:miRNA from 1 species